rnacentral:sRNA from 1 species
GCUUGGCAUGGUGGAGGGCACCUGUAGUCCCAACUACUCAGGAGGCUGAGGCAGGAAGAUUGCUUGGGCCCAGGACCAAGGCCAGUCUGAGCAACAUAGUGAGACCCCAUCUCAG